rnacentral:rRNA from 1 species
UACAGAGGUCCCAAGCGUUGUUCGGAUUCACUGGGCGUAAAGGGUGCGUAGGUGGCGGGGUAAGUUUGAUGUGAAAUCUCCGGGCUUAACCCGGAAAUGGCAUUGAAUACUAUUCUGCUGGAGGUUUGGAGGGGGGACUGGAAUUCUCGGUGUAGCAGUGAAAUGCGUAGAUAUCGAGAGGAACACCAGUGGCGAAGGCGAGUCCCUGGACAACACCUGACACUGAGGCACGAAAGCUAGGGGAGCAAACAGG